UACGUAGGGGGCAAGCGUUGUCCGGAAUCAUUGGGCGUAAAGAGCGUGUAGGCGGCCAGAUAAGUCCGCUGUGAAAUCUCGAGGCUCAACUUCGAGCUGUCGGUGGAAACUGUCUGGCUAGAGUCCGGAAGAGGAGAGUGGAAUUCCUGGUGUAGCGGAGAAAUGCGCAGAUAUCAGGAAGAACACCUAUGGCGAAGGCAGCUCUCUGGGACGGUACUGACGCUGAGACGCGAAAGCGUGGGGAGCGAACAGG
rnacentral:rRNA from 1 species